GAUGAACGCUGGCGGCGUGCCUAAUACAUGCAAGUCGAGCGAACAGACGAGGAGCUUGCUCCUCUGACGUUAGCGGCGGAUGGGUGAGUAACACGUGGAUAACCUACCUAUAAGACUGGGAUAACUUCGGGAAACCGGAACUAAUACCGGAUAAUAUAUUGAACAGCAUGGUUCAAUAGUUAAAGACGGUUUUGCUGUCACUUAUAGAUGGAUCCGCGCCGCAUUAGCUAGUUGGUAAGGUAACGGCUUACCAAGGCAACGAUGCGUAGCCGACCUGAGAGGGUGAUCGGCCACACUGGAACUGAGACACGGUCCAGACUCCUACGGGAGGCAGCAGUAGGGAAUCUUGCGCAAUGGGCGAAAGCCUGACGGAGCAACGCCGCGUGAGUGAUGAAGGUCUUCGGAUCGUAAAACUCUGUUAUUAGGGAAGAACAAAUGUGUAAGUAAAUAUGCACGUAUUGACGGUACCUAAACAGAAAGCCACGGCUAACUACGUG
rnacentral:rRNA from 1 species